rnacentral:rRNA from 1 species
GUGGGUUGCAAUCGUCUUGUCGUUAACUCUAACAAUAUGAAGGUGAUUGAAGUAAUGAAAAAUGGAAGACAUUCGGCGGGAGCUGCAGCAGCAGUGUUCGAUGAUUGCUAUUUCAUAGCUUGUGAUUUUUCGAUUAUUAGAUUUGAACAUUGUAAUAUGGAAGCAAAUAAGAUGGCUCGUGAAAUUGUUAGGCUAGCGAAUUUUUCAGUCACUACGGACUGGUUUGAGGAGCCUACAAGUGACAUUAUACAUUUACCUAUUGACGAUGUAACAAUUAUUUCCAAUUAA